rnacentral:rRNA from 1 species
UGGGGGAUAUUGCACAAUGGGCGAAAGCCUGAUGCAGCGACGCCGCGUGGGGGAUGAAGGCUUUCGGGUUGUAAACCUCUUUCGCUAUCGAACAAGGCCCGCUUAGGGUGGGUUGAGGGUAGGUGGAGAAGAAGCGCCGGCUAACUACGUGCCAGCAGCCGCGGUAAUACGUAGGGCGCGAGCGUUGUCCGGAAUUAUUGGGCGUAAAGGGCUUGUAGGCGGCUUGUUGCGUCUGCGGUGAAAACGCGGGGCUUAGCUUCGCGCGUGCAGUGGGAACGGGCAGGCUUGAGUGUGGUAGGGGUGACUGGAAUUCCAGGUGUAGCGGCGGAAUGCGCAGAUAUCUGGAGGAACACCGAUGGCGAAGGCAGGUCACUGGGCCAUUACUGACGCUGAGGAGCGAAAGCAUGGGUAGCGAACAGG